rnacentral:rRNA from 1 species
AAGUCCUACGGGGGGCAGCAGUGGGGAAUAUUGGGCAAUGGGCGCAAGCCUGACCCAGCAACGCCGCGUGAAGGAAGAAGGCUUUCGGGUUGUAAACUUCUUUUCUGGGGGACGAACAAAUGACGGUACCCCAGGAAUAAGCCACGGCUAACUACGUGCCAGCAGCCGCGGUAAUACGUAGGUGGCAAGCGUUAUCCGGAUUUAUUGGGUGUAAAGGGCGUGUAGGCGGGAAUGCAAGUCAGAUGUGAAAACUAUGGGCUCAACCCAUAGCCUGCAUUUGAAACUGUAUUUCUU